UCCAACCCGUUAGACUCGCGAGCGACUCAUCCCAGACACGAACACGAUGACGCGAGGGCUGCCGCCGCCGCCGCCGCCGUUGCAACCUCGAUGGGCGGCUCUUCCCAUGCCGCAGACAUCGCCACGGGCGACUCCGCCAUCGGCCCCCGCCACGGCCCCCUACACCCCGGCGCUGUUGGGACCUUCCCCGGCAAUGAGCAGGCAGCAGGUAUGCCCAGCCCCUUGCCUGUAAAUUUAUCUCCUUGAUUCGCAAUGGUCGUCCGAUGAUUGUUAUUUGGCUCUUGUCCUUUCUAGCAAUAAAUUGAUGGUUGGGGCAUUGUCGCUGUGCAGUUUUGAUUUAGAUUUGAUUAAAGGUGGUCAGAAAAAAGAUCGGCUUCUUUUUGCUAUAAAUUGUCUUCAGUUCCGUGAGGAUCUUAUGUCCCCUUCAUCAAUCGUGUAGGAUAUUCCUGAAUUCCUUCAUCUAAAACUGUAUUUCUAUAAUUUAUUGUGAUAUUCCGAUAGCAAUAUUAGUGUUGAGGAUAUAUGAUUGUUCAGGACAGGGAAUCCAGAAUUUUGUGGUUCCAGGAAAGCAUUAGCUGCUCCUUUGUAGUCCUGAGCAUAGAGGUAUAACUACUGUGAGAUACAAGUGUAGAGUAUAUUAAGUUGCGAGGCUAAAUUUGACGCAGCUGCUACACUGCCUAGUAUAUUGUAUACCUUCAGCAAGCUGAGAGCUGCACCCUCACAGUACCACGCCUUUGGCCACCGAGGACGCAUGGCUUUGCAUUGUUGAGUAUCUGACAGGGCACACUUUCCAUCUCCCAGCCGCAACCAGCAUAAGCUUCUAUUGGAAAACACGGUAGCAUCAAGCAGAUUUUUGAAUAAUGCCUACAUUAGUAAUCAGAAAUGUGCAGGGCCUUAGAUUAUAAAUGAGUAUAGAAGCAGACUGUCUAGUGAUACUGUAGAAGCACUUGUCUGUCUUCAAGACUGGCUUCGAGGUAGAUUACAUAUUCUUUUGUGUCCUAACAUGUUUACUAUAAUAUAGUUGAAUAACUUUUGUGUCCUAACAUGUCUACUAUAAUUUGUUUUGAUUGUUUUAGAUUGUAGUACCCAUGAUGACAUAGCUGGAUGUAUUAUGGGAGAUGAAGAUGAUGAUGAGAUCUAACUCAGGUAUAAAUUUGCAGAUGAAUUCGCUUUAUGAGAUGAUCUUGCUUUUCUCAGUAAAUGAUUUGCUUUUCUCAAAUCUCAAUACUAUGUUACAACAGUCAGUCCAUAUGAUUGGUUGCUCUCCUUGUUUGCUGCCAAUUUCAUUGUCUAGAUCUAAAAGACCAGUAGGUACCUUGCAGUAUUUGGACCUUUAUUUUCAAUAAGUACCGUCUGGCACAUCAUUUAUAUGUUGUAGAAUGGAAGCAGUCUUUGUCCCUUUGUCAUGCUAUCAUGAUGAAAAGUGAAUAUUUCUUGGUAGUUUGGAAGAAUGCUUCUUUCUCAAUCUUAUUACUCAACAUUGCACUAUUGCAGGUUAGCGGCAGGAAACAUCAAGCUUUUGCAAGGCUACAAUAGUGAAAAGUGACACGAGUUGAAGUAAUCAUUGAUAGGCAAUAUGUUUGAGUUUAAUACCAUUGAUGAAUCUAUUACAAACUUGUGAUGAUAUGGAUGGCAGUCACCUUUUUUAUUUUUUUAGUUUGUUGUAUGAACUUGUGAUGACACUGCAAGGUUGCAAAUGCCUCUUAUUUAUAUUUCUCUUGUCUUAUUGUACCACUUUCUAAAACAUUUGGAACUAUACUGCAGUCAGCAGCAGCAUGUAAUUAAGUAGUAAGUAGCAGUUUGCUUAUUGCCUUAGAAUUAUUCAGAGAUUUCCCUUUUAGAUCAAGACUUAAGAGCACUGAAUUAUAUUGCAACUAGCAACAACUCAAUUUUUCUUAUUUUUCUUUGAUUUCUUGUUCAGAACUUGUAAUUUAAUGCAGUAUGCUUUUGUUCAGCAGCAGCAACCAGCUUUGACUUAUUGUUCAGAGCUUACGGCGAGA
rnacentral:lncRNA from 1 species